AUGGUGAACUGGAAGAAAACUUGCUCCCCAAAAGAAUACGGAGGCAUCGGUAUAAAAAACUUGGAGUUCUUUGGUAGGGCAUUGAGACUGCGUUGGUUAUGGUUGCGAUGGGAUGACCUUGAUAGACCUUGGAAAGGUUCCCCUAUUCCCUGCGAUGACACCGAUCUGGCACUUUUCAAGGCUUGCACCCAUAUUACUCUUGGUGAUGGAGGCAAGACACAAUUUUGGCGUGAUCACUAGCUUGACGGCAUGGCCCCUGCUACUCUUGUGCCAUCUCUGUUCAAAAGGACAAGGAAGAAAUCUUUGACGGUUAAGGAUGCCAUUGCGGGAGACUAUUGGCUUCAGAAAUUGCCACCGAUCAAUAAUGAAGAGGACUUGCUCCAGUUUCUGUUUAUUUGGGACAAAAUUCAGAGAAUCACCCUCACAGAACUACCCGAUAAAAUCACUUGGAUUCAUUCAAACUGUGGGAAGUACUCAGCAAAAUCUGCAUACCACAUUCAGUUCACUGGGAGAAUUAGGAUGCCUGAUUUGGACAGAGUGUGGAAGACCAAAAUUGAGGGAAGGUUGCGAAGCGCUACCUCUGUAAGUGGCUGGUGGCAAAGGCUGCAUCACAUCUCUCAAAAGCCCCCCGGGAAUGAGUGUUCGGCGAUCACUUGCUAUGUUGCUUGGCACAUUUGGAAGGAACGUAACAGGAGAAUAUUCGAAGACAAGCAGAUGAAUGCAGUGGACAUCCUGAAAUUAGCAUGUGAUGAUUUUAGCCUCCUUCAGGGGGCACGAGAGUAG
rnacentral:rRNA from 1 species